GAAAUGCGAUAAGUAGUGUGAAUUGCAGAAUUCAGUGAAUCAUCGAAUCUUUGAACGCACAUUGCGCCCCUUGGUAUUCCAUGGGGCAUGCCUGUUCGAGCGUCAUUUUACCCUCAAGCUCUGCUUGGUGUUGGGUGUUUGUCCCGUCUCCGCGCGUGGACUCGCCCCAAAGUGAUUGGCAGCCGGCGUACUGGUCCCGGAGCGCAGCACAUGUCGCGCAAACGAGUGCCUUGGUACGGCGGCGUCCAUAAGCCCCUCUCUCACGCUCUUGACCUCGGAUCAGGUAGGGAUACCCGCUGAACUUAAGC
rnacentral:misc_RNA from 1 species